rnacentral:rRNA from 1 species
GUUAUAUGGUCAAGCGAAUAAGCGCACACGGUGGAUGCCUUGGCGGUCAGAGGCGAUGAAGGACGUGGCAGCCUGCGAAAAGUAUCGGGGAGCUGGCAACAAGCUUUGAUCCGGUAAUGUCCGAAUGGGGAAACCCACCCGCUUGCGGGUAUCCUGCAGUGAAUACAUAGCUGCUGGAAGCGAACCUGGUGAACUGAAAUAUCUAAGUAACCAGAGGAAAAGAAAUCAACCGAGAUUCCGUAAGUAGCGACGAGCGAACGCGGACUAGCCCUUAAGCUGGAUUGGUUCUAGGAAAACGCUCUGGAAAGAGCGGCCAUAGAAGGUGAUAGCCCUGUAUCUGAAAGGGCCAUUCCAGUGAAGACGAGUAGGGCGGGGCACGUGAAACCCUGUCUGAACAUGGGGGGACCAUCCUCCAAGGCUAAAUACUACUGACCGACCGAUAGUGAACCAGUACCGUGAGGGAAAGGCGAAAAGAACCCCGGAGAGGGGAGUGAAAUAGAACCUGAAACCGUGUGCGUACAAGCAGUAGGAGCUCCGCAAGGAGUGACUGCGUACCUUUUGUAUAAUGGGUCAGCGACUUACUGUUCGUGGCAAGCUUAACCGUAUAGGGGAGGCGAAGGGAAACCGAGUCUGAUAAGGGCGCAUAGUCGCGGGCAGUAGACCCGAAACCGGGUGAUCUAGUCAUGCCCAGGGUGAAGGUGCGGUAACACGCACUGGAGGCCCGAACCCACUCCCGUUGCAAAGGUAGGGGAUGAGGUGUGAUUAGGAGUGAAAAGCUAAUCGAACCCGGAGAUAGCUGGUUCUCCUCGAAAGCUAUUUAGGUAGCGCCUCAUAUGUAUCCUCUCGGGGUAGAGCACUGUUAUGGCUAGGGGUCAUCGCGACUUACCAAACCAUUGCAAACUCCGAAUACCGAGACGGACUGUAUGGGAGACACACGGCGGGUGCUAACGUCCGUCGUGAAAAGGGAAACAACCCAGACCCACAGCUAAGGUCCCAAAUUUUGUGCUAAGUGGAAAACCAUGUGGAAAGGCACAGACAGCCAGGAGGUUGGCUUAGAAGCAGCCACCCUUUAAAGAAAGCGUAAUAGCUCACUGGUCGAGUCGGUCUGCGGGGAAGAUUUAACGGGGCUAAGCACAGAACCGAAGCUUGGGGUGCAUAACUUUGUUAUGCGCGGUAGAGGAGCGUUCCGUAAGCCGUUGAAGGUGGAUUGAGAAGUCUGCUGGAGGUAUCGGAAGUGCGAAUGCUGACAUGAGUAACGAUAAUGCGGGUGAAAAACCCGCACGCCGAAAGCCCAAGGUUUCCUUGCGCAACGUUAAUCGGCGCAGGGUGAGUCGGCCCCUAAGGCGAGGACGAAAGUCGUAGUCGAUGGGAAGCAGGUUAAUAUUCCUGCACCUCGCGUAAGUGCGAUGGAGGGACGGAGAAGGUUAGGUGUACCAGGCGUUGGUUGUCCUGGGGAAAGGCGGUAGGUUUGGAUCUUUGGCAAAUCCGGGAUCCUUUAAGACCGAGCACCGAGACGAGCCUUUAUGGCGAAGUCACUGAUACCACGCUUCCAGGAAAAGCUCCUAAGCUUCAGCUUACGCAGACCGUACCGUAAACCGACACAGGUGGGUAGGAUGAGAAUUCUCAGGCGCUUGAGAGAACUCGGGUGAAGGAACUAGGCAACAUGGCACCGUAACUUCGGGAGAAGGUGCACCCUUUUUGGUGGCUCGUGCGAGCUAUAGCUGAAGAGGGUCGCAGUAACCAGGCCGCUGCGACUGUUUAUCAAAAACACAGCACUCUGCAAACACGAAAGUGGACGUAUAGGGUGUGACGCCUGCCCGGUGCUGGAAGGUUAAUUGAUGGGGUCAGCCGCAAGGCGAAGCUCUUGAUCGAAGCCCCAGUAAACGGCGGCCGUAACUAUAACGGUCCUAAGGUAGCGAAAUUCCUUGUCGGGUAAGUUCCGACCUGCACGAAUGGCGUAACGACAGCGGCGCUGUCUCCACCCGAGACUCAGUGAAAUUGAAAUCGCUGUGAAGAUGCAGCGUUCCCGUGGCAAGACGGAAAGACCCCGUGAACCUUUACUAUAGCUUUACACUGAACGUUGAGUUCGUCUGUGUAGGAUAGGUGGGAGGCUAUGAAACCAUGGCGCUAGCUGUGGUGGAGCCAUCCUUGAAAUACCACCCUGUCGUGCUUGACGUUCUAACCUGGGCCCAUUAUCUGGGUCGGGGACCGUGUAUGGUGGGUAGUUUGACUGGGGCGGUCUCCUCCUAAAGAGUAACGGAGGAGCUCGAAGGUACGCUCAGCGCGGUCGGACAUCGCGCACUGUGUGCAAAGGCAUAAGCGUGCUUGACUGCAAGAUCGACGGAUCAAGCAGGUAGGAAACUAGGACUUAGUGAUCCGGUGGUUCUGUAUGGAAGGGCCAUCGCUCAACGGAUAAAAGGUACUCCGGGGAUAACAGGCUGAUACCGCCCAAGAGUUCAUAUCGACGGCGGUGUUUGGCACCUCGAUGUCGGCUCAUCACAUCCUGGGGCUGUAGUCGGUCCCAAGGGUAUGGCUGUUCGCCAUUUAAAGUGGUACGCGAGCUGGGUUCAGAACGUCGUGAGACAGUUCGGUCCCUAUCUGCCAUGGGCGUUGGAGAUUUGAGAGGGGCUGCUCCUAGUACGAGAGGACCGGAGUGGACGAACCUCUGGUGUUCCGGUUGUCACGCCAGUGGCAUUGCCGGGUAGCUAUGUUCGGAAGCGAUAACCGCUGAAAGCAUCUAAGCGGGAAGCGCGCCUCAAGAUGAGAUCUCCCGGGGCACAAGCCCCCUGAAGGAACCAUGUAGACUACGUGGUUGAUAGGUCAGGUGUGUAAGUACAGCAAUGUAUUGAGCUAACUGAUACUAAUGAUCCGAGAGGCUUGACCAUAUAACCU